CCCUCCCCGCUGGCCCGUCGCCGGGGGCGGGGCAUAUCGGUAAGGGGGGGGCCAGUGGGGCCUGGCACUGCACUCCUCAGGUUCUCACUGGGGGGAUGGGGACCUGGCACUAGGGAGCUGGAGGACUUACGGUCCAUAGACCGUGGGUUUCAGAGAUGACACACACACCCAGCAAGCUGGAGGACCGCAGACCCAUGGAGUGCAACUUCCGGAGGACUGAAGGGCACUUCCGGUGUGCUGGAGGACCGCGGACCCAUAGAGCUUGACUUCCGGAGGACUGAAGGGCACUUCCGGUGUGCUGGAGGACCGCGGGCCCAUAGCGCUUGACCUCCGGAGGACUGAAGAGCACUUCCGGUGUGCUGGAUGACCGCAGACCCAUAGAGCUUGACUUCCGGAGGACUGAAGGGCACUUCCGGUGAGCUGGAGGACUGGCGUCCUAUAGAGUGCGAUUUCCGGGGGACUGCUGGGCACUCCCCGGUGGCCCUGGAGCACGAGCACAGCAAGCACCUGGGGAGGAUCCUGGUUCUCUGCAGCUACAGGAAAAAGGAAGGAGGAGAUGGAGCACCAAAAAGAGCCUGUGGCAGAAGGGAAGGUCAAGUCACGACUUCAUAUUCAGGAUUAGAAACCCAGUCAGAAGGCCUGCAAUUACCAUUGCUACAGUAAGACACGGUUAGAAUAAACUGCUCCCAGCAAGUACUCAAUUCCUCUUUUGUACCUGGAAAUGUCUGUGAUGACGGUAUACUGCCUAGGCCUCAGUGACGGGUCAGUUUAACAUUGCUGUUAUUAAUGUCAUUAGUUCUGGUUGAGAAUCACCACCACCUGUGAAUUUUCUUAAUACCUACAUUUGAACAUAGCUAUUAUUUAAUGGCUCACCUUCCUCUUUAUUUAAAAAUUAAAAGUUUUGAUUACUGUUUGGGUUUGAAGUAGUUGUUGUCACUGACUCUGAACUUACAGCUCUGUUAUGAUUUAGGUAUUAACCACUCCCAGUUUAGCUUUCCAGGUCAUUUUAGAUUCUAAAACUUUCUUUUUUUCUUUCUGAUUGGAAGUCAUUAAUGCUAUGAAUAGCUAAAUCUAAACACAGCCAUUAUUAAAUCAAUUGCAAGCAUUAAGGACUCCCCCUCCUUCCAACCUUCCCUUCCCUCGGCUCUCAGGUAACUCUGUGGGGCUGCCCUGACCUUCAACAGACCAGAAGCCCGCUGCAGCAGGCAGUUUGAAGCUUCCCAUCCCACCACCCCCAAGCAGGCAGGAGACACCCCUGCACCCGCUAAAGGGUCUCACUCGCUUCACUGGUGGUCCCAACACUCUCCCAGCACCAGAAGUUGUGCCUGGCCCACCGCCACAGUGCAGCAGAAGCAAAGGUGGCCGUGGCGCUGCCGCGCACCCCGGGAUGCCAGCCCUGCAGCACCGUGCUUUGGCCACGAGGCAGCAGCCAGUGCCCUGCCCAUGCCCAGGGGAGGCACAGGCACUGCGGUCCCACACCGUGCAGGCCGAGCACCUGCUGGCAGCACCCGCUUGGUGGGGGCAGUGGCAUUCCUCACCAGGAGGCAGGAAUGUGUGCCACGGCAUUACCCUCUGGCACCGCAGGGCCGGUACCUGCAGGCAGCAUCGUGGGUCACAGGCACGCCCCCGUGCACACAGCGCCCCAGCUGCAGCACCUGACUUUGGUCUCUGGGCAGCAGCAACAAGCGCACACGUGCACCCCACUACGUAUGCACUGCAUCCCGCAGCUAUCCGCCUUCUGACCCGUGUCACCCGCGACUGAGGGCAUCCUGGAUGGCACGGAGGGAAGAAAGUGGCUUUGGGGCACAAAGAUGGCCAUAGGAGAGGUUCUGAGGGAACAAGAGGCAUCCAACGUGUGCUAGAGAGUAAAAGCGUCCCAAGGGGAACGCAGAUGGCCUCAGGAUACAUCAGGACAUAGAGCAGAGGGGUCAUGGGGGAGCCAGUGACAAAAGAAGGCUCCGGGGACACGGUGAGGAGCUUGUGAGGGGAUCUGAGCAGAGCACAGAUGUCCUGAGGGGACCAGGGACUGAACAGAGGCAUCCGAGAUGGCACAGAGGACUAAAAAAUACUCUGGGACACACUAAAGGCUUCAGGAGGCAAUGUAACAGGAGAAGGGUCCCAAGGCAGGGCAGGGAGACACGAGAGGCAUCAGGGUUCUCCUAGGUCUCGCAGCAGUGUGUGGGGCACCCGCUGCCCACUCUCCUGGGCCUUGCAGGGUAAGAUGGACAGGCAGGCAGACAAAGACCCAGGGGGCUGGUCAGAGGAAUGGGGAGAGAAAGAAGGAUCAAGAGUAGGACAGAAAGAGCGAUGCAGAAAGGAGAAAGACUAGAAGAGAGACAGGCAUCUAGACUGAGUUUCACUUUUAUGUGAACACAGGACAAUUACAUGGUUAAAUGGGAACUAAACUAUCAUGUAAGGAACUGCAGCGGCAGCUUGGGGAUCCAGUGUCUCUCUGGCUUAGUAUGGGGGUGCUUUCUACUUGUACUCCUCUACAGUGUAACAACUGCUAGAAAAACAAAUCAGAAGACAUUCAUCGCUCCUGUCUCUCAAAUGCAGGUAAGGACAUACACAGCCACAGCGUCACAGGUUCAUCCCAUGCCUUAGAACCUCACUGUGUUGAAAGCAGAUUGCCUCUUUCUUUUACUGGCAUUUAAGCCCCUCAUGAGAGGGAUAUUGCCAGAGAGUCUAGAAACAAGAAAGCUGUAGCCAUAAACUAUUAUUCUUAAAAAACGGCGUGUUUCACUAAGAGAAACUUCAAGUGAUGUUUGACCAAGAACACGUUUAUUACAAAAAAAAAAAAAAAAAAAAAGAAGAAACCAAACCAACAAGUCGACAUAAUAUUUGGCUACAAUGCAGCAGCAGUCUUGCUUUUUGUCAUCACAAAUCAGGGUGACCCUAGUUAAUAAAAUUCACCACCACUGUCAUCUGGCAUUAAAAAAAAAUAUAUAUGUGUGUAUAUAUAGUGUUUUCAGUAGCGGUGGCUGAAACGCGGUUCAGUUGGCCUGUUUGUCCUCUCCUGGCCUGCAAACACUCCUUGUAUUCCGCUACUCUGCAUCAUCUGGCUCUGGUUUCCAACUUGUGUGAAGCCUCCACGCCUAAAAACAAGACCAGACAAAUUGAAACUUGCCCAGAGAAGUUAAUACUACUGUGACUCUGAGAAGAGAUGUCUGCAUGGUUUUUUCUACUUGCCAAUCCAUAGUUAAGUAGAAGCUGAAAGUAUUAUUUUUCACAAUUGACACAGGAGUUUCUUCUUUUAUACAGAUCAGUCAACUAUUAUAAAAACAUUAUAAGCACUCUGACAAAGCUUCUUACCCUGACAUCCCUCCUCGAUUCAUCACAUGGCCUGGUCCUGACUGACCAGGCAUGCUUCUAUCACCACCUAGUUUAAAACAAAACAA